rnacentral:rRNA from 1 species
AUUGAACGCUGGCGGAAUGCCUUACACAUGCAAGUCGAACGGCAGCACGGGAGCAAUCCUGGUGGCGAGUGGCGAACGGGUGAGUAAUACAUCGGAACGUGCCCAAUCGUGGGGGAUAACGUAGCGAAAGCUACGCUAAUACCGCAUACGAUCUACGGAUGAAAGCGGGGGAUCGCAAGACCUCGCGCGAAUGGAGCGGCCGAUGGCAGAUUAGGUAGUUGGNGGGGUAAAGGCUCACCAAGCCUUCGAUCUGUAGCUGGUCUGAGA